UCCAGCAUGCUCUAGUGGUCAGGAUACUUGGCUCUCACCCAAGAGACACGGGUUCGAUUCCCGAUGUCGGAA